AAUUUAAUUAUUGCAUUAUUUUUUCUCCUCAUAUAUUUUCUGGAUAGCAGCAGUCCGACCUUUAGUGAUGUGAAGGGUCAUCUUCAGUAUCCAGAUCUCUGUGGCUGCUGCGUUGCAGGAGCACUCAGUGAUGAGGAAGAGCGGAGAUGUCGAUAGGUGCCGGUCUAAUCCCUGCUCCUACAAUUCCUCGCCAAGUUCUGCUUGCUUUCAGUGAAUGGAAACAUUCUUGCUCAGUCGCACCCAGAGUUCUGUGCAUGUCCAACUGACACAGGAGAGGGGCUGGUUGUCAUAGAGGAGGAAAUUUGAAGAGAGUAACACAGGACCACAGGAUCUGACUACACUGGAGCUUUAAAGUCGCCCAUCUAUCUUUUCUGCCCUCCUGCCCUUUUGUAGAUGGCAUCAACCAUAUUUCAGCUAACGCAUGUUGGUGCACGACGCCACAGAGGGGCAGAAUUUUCAGCUGCGCUACGGAGACAGUUGCCAAGCAACAUCUCACAUCAGAGAAACCUGCGGCUGGAUGAAUACGAGGAAGAUCCCGAAUAAAAAAAAAACAUCUAUUUUUGUAAAUUCUUGGACAGAUUUCUUCAUGUUUUGUUAGAUCAUGGGGUAAUGGUAAAAAAAAUAUAUGGUAUAUAUUUUUGUAUGGAAUGUGUUCAAAAGUUUUAAACGAGA